rnacentral:rRNA from 1 species
CCUACGGGGUGCAGCAGGCGCGAAAACCUUACCAAAUGCUGGCAACAGCGAUAAGGGAACCCUCGAGUGCCAGGUUACAAAUCUGGCUGUCGAGAUGCCUAAAAAGCAUUUCAUAGCAAGGGCCGGGCAAGACCGGUGCCAGCCGCCGCGGUAACACCGGCGGCUCGAGUGGUAACCGUUAUUAUUGGGUCUAAAGGGUCUGUAGCCGGCCGGAUAAGUCUCUUGAGAAAUCUGGCAGCUUAACUGUCAGGCUUUCAGGAGAUACUGUCUGGCUCGAGGCCGGGAGAGGUGAGAGGUACUUCAGGGGUAGGGGUGAAAUCUUGUAAUCCUUGAAGGACCACCAGUGGCGAAGGCGUCUCACCAGAACGGACCUGACGGCAAGGGACGAAAGCUAGGGGCACGAACCGGAUUAGAUACCCGGGUAGUCCUAGCCGUAAACGAUACUCGCUAGGUGUCGGCCACGGUGCGACCGUUGUCGGUGCCGUAGGGAAGCCGUGAAGCGAGCCACCUGGGAAGUACGGCCGCAAGGCUGAAACUUAAAGGAAUUGGCGGGGGAGCACCACAACGGGUGGAGCUUGCGGUUUAAUUGGAUUCAACGCCGGAAAUCUUACCGGGAG